ACGUGAUUACCCGCUGAACUUAAGCAUAUCACUAAGCGGAGGAAAAGAAACUAACAAGGAUUCCCUUAGUAACGGCGAGUGAACAGGGAUAAGCCCAGCACCGAAGCCUGUGGCCGUUUGGCCCCUAGGCAAUGUGGUGUUCAGGUUAGCUCGCGGGGAUGCUGCUCCACCCUAAGUCCUAUAAUGAGUAAGGUUACUCGGACAUGGCCCACAGAGGGUGAAAGGCCCGUGGGGGUGGAGACUCAGAUUGGCCAGUAUCUCCCUGAGCAGACCUUGGAGUCGGGUUGUUUGUGAAUGCAGCCCAAAGCGGGUGGUAAACUCCAUCCAAGGCUAAAUACUUGCACGAGUCCGAUAGCGAACAAGUACCGUGAGGGAAAGUUGAAAAGUACUUUGAAGAGAGAGUAAACAGUGCGUGAAACCGCUCAGAGGUAAACGGGUGGAGUUGAACUGCAAGCUCUGAGGAUUCAGCUGGUGAGUUUGGCAUGAGCUUGGUCAUGUGGGUUGUGUGUUCGGGUCUGCUUAGCUGCAGGUCCUCGCCUUUGGUGGGGAUGCGCGUAUCGCUUAUCAAGCGUUGUGCGCCCGUUCUUAUCGGACCUGCUUGUCAGUGCACUUUCUCAG
rnacentral:rRNA from 1 species